UACGGAGGGGGCUAGCGUUGUUCGGAAUUACUGGGCGUAAAGCGCGCGUAGGCGGACCUGCAAGUCGGGGGUGAAAGCCCGAGGCUCAACCUCGGAACUGCCUUCGAUACUGCGGGUCUCGAGUCCGGGAGAGGUGAGUGGAAUUCCUAGUGUAGAGGUGAAAUUCGUAGAUAUUAGGAAGAACACCAGUGGCGAAGGCGGCGACCUGGGUUGACACUGACGCUGAGGCGCGAAAGCGUGGGGAGCAAACAGG
rnacentral:rRNA from 1 species